GAUGAACGCUGGCGGCGUGCCUAAUACAUGCAAGUCGAGCGAACAGACCAGGAGCUUGCUCCUCUGCCGUUAGCGGCGGACGGGUGAGUAACACGUGGAUAACCUACCUAUCAGACUGGGAUAACUUCGGGCAACCGGAGCUAAUACCGGAUAAUAUAUUGAACCGCAUGGUUCAAUAGUGAAAGACGGUUUUGCUGUCACUUUUAGAUGGCUCCGCGUCGACUUAGCUAGUUGGUAAGGUAACGGCUUUCCACGGCAACGAUGCGUAGCCGACCUGAGAGGGUGAUCGGCCACACUGGAACAGAGACACGUUCCAGACUCCUACGGUAGGCAGCAGUAGGGAAUCUUCCGCAAUGGGCGAAAGCCUGACGGAGCAACGCCGCGUGAGUGAUGAAGGUCUUCGGAUCGUAAAACGCUGUUAUUAGGGAAGAACAAAUGUGUAAGUAACUAUGCACGUCUUGACGGUACCUAAACAGAAAGCCACGGCUAACUACGUG
rnacentral:rRNA from 1 species